rnacentral:tRNA from 1 species
GCCUCCAUAGCUCAGUGGUUAGAGCACUGGUCUCGUAAACCAGGGGUCAUGAGUUCAAUUCUCAUUGGUGGCA